rnacentral:tRNA from 4 species
GUCCCCGUAGCUCAGUUGGAUAGAGCGCGGGACUUCUAAUCCCGGCGUCGCAGGUUCAAGUCCUGCCGGGGACACCA